AGGGUUCGAUCCUGGCUCAGGACGAACGCUGGCGGCGUGCUUUAUACAUGCAAGUCAAGGAGAAUCUAUUCUUCGGAAUAGCAGUAAACUGGCGAACGGGUGAGUAACACGUAGGUAACCUGCCCUAGAGACUGGGACAACUUCGGGAAACCGGAGCUAAAACCGGAUAAUGCAGCGGAUCCUUAGGGAUACAGUUGUUAAAGCGGGCUUCGGCUCGUACUUUAGGAUGGACCUGCGUCCGAUUAGCUUGUUGGUGGGGUAAAGGCCUACCAAGGCGAUGAUCGGUAGCUGGUCUGAGAGGAUGAUCAGCCACACUGGGAUUGAGAUACGGCCCAGACCUCUACGGGGGGCAGCAGUAGGGAAUUUUGCGCAAUGGGCGAAAGCCUGACGCAGCAACGCCGCGUGAUCGAUGAAGCUUCUAGGAGCGUAAAGAUCUGUCGUGAGGGAAGAAAAAUUCGGAGGUAAAUAAUUUUCGUUUUUGACGGUACCUCACAAGAAAGCACCGGCUAACUUCGUGCCAGCC
rnacentral:rRNA from 1 species